rnacentral:rRNA from 1 species
CAGUAGCCGCGGUAAUACGUAGGGUGCGAGCGUUAAUCGGAAUUACUGGGCGUAAAGCGUGCGCAGGCGGUUUCGUAAGACAGAGGUGAAAUCCCCGGGCUCAACCUGGGAACUGCCUUUGUGACUGCGAAGCUAGAGUACGGCAGAGGGGGGUGGAAUUCCACGUGUAGCAGUGAAAUGCGUAGAGAUGUGGAGGAACACCGAUGGCGAAGGCAGCCCCCUGGGCCGAUACUGACGCUCAUGCACGAAAGCGUGGGUAGCAAACAGGAUUAGAUACCCGGGUAGUCCCUGUCUCUUAUAU